rnacentral:rRNA from 1 species
UACGAAGGGGGCUAGCGUUGCUCGGAAUCACUGGGCGUAAAGGGUGCGUAGGCGGGUCUUUAAGUCAGGGGUGAAAUCCUGGAGCUCAACUCCAGAACUGCCUUUGAUACUGAAGAUCUUGAGUUCGGGAGAGGUGAGUGGAGCUGCGAGUGUAGAGGUGAAAUUCGUAGAUAUUCGCAAGAACACCAGUGGCGAAGGCGGCUCACUGGCCCGAUACUGACGCUGAGGCACGAAAGCGUGGAGAGCAAACAGG